AUCCGGGUGGCCUAAUGGUUAGGGCAUAGCUCUCCUAAAGCUGGGAUUGCGGGUUCGAGUCCCGCCUCGGAUG
rnacentral:tRNA from 1 species